rnacentral:rRNA from 1 species
GACGAACGCUGGCGGCGUGCUUAACACAUGCAAGUCGAACGAAGAGCGACGGAAGCUUGCUUCUAUCAAUCUUAGUGGCGAACGGGUGAGUAACGCGUAAUCAACCUGCCCUUCAGAGGGGGACAACAGUUGGAAACGACUGCUAAUACCGCAUACGAUCUAACCUCGGCAUCGAGGAUAGAUGAAAGGUGGCCUCUACAUGUAAGCUAUCACUGAAGGAGGGGAUUGCGUCUGAUUAGCUAGUUGGAGGGGUAACGGCCCACCAAGGCGAUGAUCAGUAGCCGGUCUGAGAGGAUGAACGGCCACAUUGGGACUGAGACACGGCCCAGACUCCUACGGGAGGCAGCAGUGGGGAAUCUUCCGCAAUGGACGAAAGUCUGACGGAGCAACGCCGCGGGAGUGAUGACGGCCUUCGGGUUGUAAAGCUCUGUUAAUCGGGACGAAAGGCCUUCUUGCGAAUAGUGAGAAGGAUUGACGGUACCGGAAGAGAAAGCCACGGCUAACUACGUG